rnacentral:rRNA from 1 species
AGAGCGAACGCUGGCGGCAGGCCUAACACAUGCAAGUCGAGCGCCCCGCAAGGGGAGCGGCAGACGGGAGAGUAACGCGUGGGAACGUACCUUUUGGUUCGGAACAACCCAGGGAAACUUGGGCUAAUACCGGAUAAAGCCCUUACGGGGAAAGAUUUAUCGCCGAAAGAUCGGCCCGCGUCUGAUUAGCUAGUUGGUGAGGUAAUGGCUCACCAAGGCGACGAUCAGUAGCUGGUCUGAGAGGAUGAUCAGCCACAUUGGGACUGAGACACGGCCCAAACUCCUACGGGAGGCAGCAGUGGGGAAUAUUGGACAAUGGGCGCAAGCCUGAUCCAGCCAUGCCGCGUGAGUGAUGAAGGCCCUAGGGUUGUAAAGCUCUUUGUGCGGGAAGAUAAUGACGGUACCGCAAGAAUAGCCCGGCUAACUUCGUGCCAGCAGCCGC